UGGAAUUUUAUUUAAGUAUGUAACGCUUUCAAAACUCACUCCCACAUAGUGUAAUUGCAAUACAAUAGUCUUGAGAUCAGCUGGGGAACAUCAACAUCAACGAGAGUCACAACUUAAUCCCGUUCCAAGCAAUUAGAGCUCCCAGAAGAUGCACAGCAUAGUUUAGGUUUAAUUUGGUAGAAAGCGCACAACACACAAAAGCGACAAACAAUUAGCAACAAAAAUAUGAUUUAGUAUUUGACGUUUCGAACCGAAAGUGCACAAUGGAAAAGUUUUGUCUGCGAUUAUUAAAGCAUCACUUGGAUUCAGUUUUGAAGAGUCGCAAAAGCGGCAAAGCAAAGACCACAGCAAAGACGCAGCCAAAGACUAAUUAAUCAUUUGGCCAAGUCGCGACAUAGAGAGAUAGAGCUUUGGUGUUGGGUGCCUUAAAUGGAAAUUAAAUUGCUCGGGGCAAACUGCAAAAGAGGGCUGCACUUAAUGCUAGAGACGUAGAAGAUAAUCGCCCCACAUCCUAGACGAAAAUUUACGCCACUUGAGUCAUUAAUUCUCAUAAACGAAUCAAUUGGAAUGCAGGUCGGCCGAAUUUAAUGGAAAUGAACAGAGAAGAGUUUACGAAUCAUAUGUUUAAAUCAGCAGCAUAAAUUUUAAGCAAGUUCCCCGAAAGGAAAAUAUCCAAAACAAAAAUCUACGAAGGCGACGCAACGUCUUCGCAUAAAUUGUUUACACGUUUAUUUUCUGUCUUCAUUGCGCAUUGCGAAUAACUCAAUCAAUCAGCUUUGCUUAUAAAUUUUGAGUGCCAUAAAGAGACUGCCAGAAAGACUGCUGCAAAAUCAACAGCAAGAGGAAAACAAUAACAAAAUUGAACCGAAAUGUACCGAGGCCAAAAAGCAUUUAAACAAGCCAUAAAAAUCGAGCAACCGCAAAACGCAAAACAAACAACAACAACACAACGCAAACGAGAAAUUGUGCUAAGUUUUGUUUUUUAUUUAUUUAUGUGGUACAAGGAGAGUGCGGAGGCGGGGGCGGGGGCGCGGAUGCCAGAACAAAUCGCGGCCAAGAAGUGUGAGUUGAGAAAUAAUUCAUCAAAGAGCCAGAAAUUUGUGAGAUAUUAAUCAGUGGCCUGGUCUCUGGUCUCUUUGUGGCAUCACAUGUGUGCUGUGACCAUGCCAAAGUCAAUUUCAUAUACAUACAUACAUAUAUAUUUUGUUGGCGGCGCAUUUCAAAGCGAUCCUCCUUCAUCUCCCUGUUCACAGAAUGAAAUCCGCAGAGGCGUUUGCCCUCAAAAGCGAAUGGCAACCCACGCAAAAUCUCGACGAUUGGAGUUUUUUGUGUUAUAUGAAAGAAACAAUUAAAAACAUUUGACAUUAUUUUGUUGUUUGGUUAAUGGCUGCGCUUUGGUUGCGCAGCUCGUUGACAAGAAUUUUGUGCUUUUUGGCUUUCGGUCAUUAACCAUACUUAGAGGCAAUAAAGUUGUCAAUUUGGCACCGACACCAGACAAACCAGUGAAAGGCAUAAUAGUGUGUGGCAGAUGUGCUCACAGGUAGUUGACAUGAUUUUGGGCUGGAGGAGAGAAUGAUGAGAGAAUUGAGAAAAGGCCAUGUGAAAUGUGAGACGACACAAAACAAGCUUGCGACGAUCGUUGAGCGAUUUGACCAUGAUAUAUGGCACAUUAAAGCAAAAGCGAGUUCUUAAAGUUCUUUUGUAGCUUAUCGGAUGACCAUUUAAUUUGCAUAGAUCAGCUCAGAUUUGACACUAAAUAGGACGUGUGAAAAAUGAUUGAGCCAGCUGCGUUUAUUAACCCUUCCAGGAAAUGUUCACAGUCAAUUUUUUGGGCAUAAACACAACUAGUUUUUUGGUUAUCUAACAAACGUUUCAAAUUGAAAAUAGAAAAAAGCAAUUUAUUGAAAAACAUAUUUCACCUGCAGCAUAACCAGAGAGAGAGAAAAAAAAAACACAAAAUUGAAAUUGUGCUCGAGAGCAUAAAAUGAAAUGGGAAAAGCUAUUGAUUUGCACCAAAUAACAGCCAGCGGGUGAUUGCAUAAAAAUCAAGUGCAAUAACAGCAAAAGCAACUCUGAUAAUAAUAAUAGAGUGACGGCAUAUGAAAGUGAAAUAGUUGAAAAUAAAAACUGAAAAAAUAAAAAAUUGAAAGUGCCGCCCGCCGUUCGAUCGAAGUGACCAUUUAAGGUGAGGCAUCAAAUUGAACACAAACUGUUACAGCGAAGCAAUUAAACAGACAGCCAUUAACUACAGUAAACAUUCAAGAGAAGCAACGACGAGACAAUUCAAGGUCUCUUCUGCAUUAAAGCGCUUAAAAUGCUUCGGCACAAGCUGUCAACUAAAAAUAAAACUACAACAAAAGAAAAGAGAAGAGGGAAAAAAACAAAGUUAAAUCAAAAGCAAUCAAAUUGACAAAACGUCAGUGUAAUAAAGCGUUGAUAAACCGCAGCAGAGACACAAUCGAGAAUCGAGCUGAAAUUGAUUAGCCGAAGAGGAACGAGACUGGUCCAGAGACGACAAUCAGCGAAAAGCUUCAGCAAAAGUGGUUAAGCUGGAUCGAGUUGAGUUUGGGACAGAUCGGCGGGGCUGGACCUGAGCAAAUUGCACACGAUUCACGAUGCGUUGCAGGCAAUGUGCCAAAGGAGACAGAGAAGAGAAGAGAAGAGUUGGGAAGUGAAGUAAAGUGGAAUACGACAUUCAGACACGUUUGUUGCAGCCGCAGCGGCAGCGCUGCUCAAGCAAUUUACAAUUUAAUAGCACGCCACAAAAUCGAAACGAUGCAGCAAUGAAUGUGUAGUAUCGAUGCCAGCGAUCGAUCGAUCGAUUGAAGAUCGCUGGUCUCAAAGCAUGUGAAAUGAAAAGCGAAGAAGAACUUUCUUCUCCCCAUCAAUUAGCUACAUAAUUCUAACAAUCUUUCAGCUCGCUUGUUUAUCUCUAACUACAAUUUGUUUUUAAAUUUGUGCCUCGCAAAGUUUUCUAAUCUCUCUCUGCGCUCAAGUAAUUUUAAUUUCAACUGCCGCUCGACGCUCGUUGCGCCUCAAUUGGACUGAGCCAAAGGCCUUUUGCGGUCAGCUAAUGUCAGUUGGCCUAGCCUCCACCUCCACUUCCAUCUCCAUCUCCCCUGCCCUUGUGGCAUCCACAUUAAUGCGCACUUUUCCACGGCUUUUGUCUGCAUUCU